GUGAGGAAUAUUGGUCAAUGGGCGCAAGCCUGAACCAGCCAUGCCGCGUGCAGGAAGACGGUCCUAUGGAUUGUAAACUGCUUUUAUUUGGGAAUAAACCUCCUUAUGUGUAGGGAGCUGAAGGUACCAAAUGAAUAAGCACCGGCUAACUCCGUGCCAGCAGCCGCGGUAAUACGGAGGGUGCAAGCGUUAUCCGGAAUCAUUGGGUUUAAAGGGUCCGCAGGCGGUCAUAUAAGUCAGUGGUGAAAGCCUACAGCUCAACUGUAGAACUGCCAUUGAUACUGUAUGACUUGAAUUCGAUCGAAGUGGGCGGAAUGUGACAUGUAGCGGUGAAAUGCUUAGAUAUGUCACAGAACACCGAUAGCGAAGGCAGCUCACUAGGUCUGGAUUGACGCUCAGGGACGAAAGCGUGGGGAGCAAACAGGAUUAGAUACCCUUGUAGUCC
rnacentral:rRNA from 1 species